rnacentral:lncRNA from 1 species
CCUUGGUGUUUUCUAUACGCAAGAUUAUGCCAUCUGCAAAUAGAAGCAGUUUUAAUUCUUCCUUUACUCUCAGUCUGCUUUUAAUGAGCUAUUAUGUCUUCUGUUCUGUAUUGGUCAAACCCUCACCUGGAUCACAGUAUUUAUUACUGACCAUCACAGUUUCCUUGAGGAAAUGAAAAAAAUUAAAAAGAUAAAGUAACUAUUACCAUAAUCCCUACAUUCGGACACAAUAUUUAUGAGCAUGUGGGGUAAAUUCUUCCAGACACUCUUGCUAGAGGACGUGUAGCAGAGCUUAUGAUGCACUGAGCCACAUCCUCCAGCCACCAGAUUCCAGUGUAGCUGUGGUGAACUUUGCCUUGCACUUUACCAGUGUCCAUAUAAGCUCAUAUCACAGUGUCUUUCUGUUUUGCUUUCUGGAGGUCAGGGAAGCCUGCUGAGCUAUAUGUAGACCCAACCCAUAUUUUCAAGGUAAUACUCCUUAGUUGAUAGAAGCCCUCAGUCGAUGGGAACAGGAUUUCAUGGAUUAAUGCCCCAGCUCCCCCAUCCUGCAGGACAUAGAAUGUGUGACUAUCCAAGAUGCUUGCAACAUGGUUUCUCAGAGUUCCCAAUGGAAUUGAAUCCCAGCUGCAUACAACUGUAACCCACUCAUUUAUUAACUUUUCUCCCUUCCUCUUUCCCUUCACUUCUGUUUCCUAAGACUACUUCCCUCUAAAUGAUCUGCACCCAAGUCCUUGUCUCAAGGUCUUCUAGAGAAACCCAAACUAAGGCAGUUUGUCAAGGGACAAACUAGGGUACAUCUUUGAAACAGUCAUUAGGAGAGUGAGAGGUCCUGCAACGAUGUAAUAUAAAAGCAGUGAAAAUAGCUGAGAAAAUUAGAAAAAGAGAAAACUUACAGGAAUAAUCAUAGUCAUCUUUAAAUACCUGCAAAGUAAUCAGAUAUAAGAGGACCAAAGGAGACACUGGUUUUAACUGAGCACCUUCCAGGUUAUAUACUAGCUACUAUGAAGUGUAUUUAUUCCAUCCUUACAGCAACCCAGAGGCAAUGAGAACUACCCUUAUUUUUCAAAUAAGAAAACUGAGACACAGAUGAUUAAGGAAUUUGCCAAGGUCCAAAGCUAACAGGUAUUGGAACUAGGAUUCAAAUCCAAGCCUGUCUGCCCCCUAACCUGUGUCUUGCUGCUGUGUGUUUUGCUUUGAAGGGCAAAACAGAGACCAGCAGGUAGACAUUCUAAAUCCAUAGAAUUGUGUUUAUAUGAAUGCAGUGUGUGGCAGAGAUUGUCUAGAUGUUCAUCAAUGCUGUUUUCUCUGUUCUGUUUCUGGACAUACAGGAACACUUCAUGUCCUAGCCUCCUUUAUAAGUAGAUUGGGGCCAUGUAACAGGGUUCUGGCAAAUGGGAAUGUGCAGAUGUGAUAUGUGAUGCUCCUGAUUCAUUCAUUCUGUCUCUUUCUCUCUCUCCCUCUCAGCUAGCUGAAAGCAGAGAACCCAGCAGAGGAUUCUGGGAAGGUCCUGGGGGAUGGCAGAGCCAGCAGAGAGAGGGUAUGGAUCCACCAGGCAUAGGAUGGAACAGAGCACUAUUGACCACAGUGAACUGGGGCAUGGGCAAUCAAUAAACACAUAUUAGAUUAAGCUAUUGAGACUCAGGGAUUUUUAUACAACUGACAUUCCCUAAGAAGCCAUGAUCUUCCUGUCUCAGGAGGUGCAUAAGCAGUGGUUGAAUGUUCAACAGUCAAGAAUGUUAUAAAAAGAGGUUCUUGGGAGAGUGGACCUGAUGGCCAGCAAAAAUCAUAGCUCACAUUUAUUGAGUUAUUAUGGCUCAGGCAUGUGCACAUAUUCUUUUAUUUAAAUCUACAAUAUGCUUUAUCAUGCUCAUUUUAUACAUGAGGAACACAAGGCAUGGAGAGGUUAGAUAACAUGCCUAAGAUCAUGAAGCAAGCAAGGGGGAGAAAAGAUACCCUUCUCACUCCUUCCAGACAGCUCACUUCACCACCACUCCCCACUGUCUCUAAAGCAAAAGUUAUUUGAAGGCUUAGGGACUGGUUUGGUAUUAUCCAUGCAGGGCGGUUUGUUUUGUUUUUCUUUUAAAAUUUCAGCCUAUGCUUAAAAGAUUUCAUGUAAAAAUUCUGUUUUCUAGUUUCUCUUGAAAAUUAAGAAGAUCUGGUAAAACUGGGCUUGAAGACCAUUAUGGUAACAGGCUGCUGAAGCUGAGGAGAGGGCCCCUUCAGAUGGGCAUAAGCACUGCUCCCCCUCCCCAACCCCCCUUUUAGGUUACUAUCAGACUCUGGAAGCUUCUGAAUGUGUGAACCCUGAAAGAGUCCAUCUAAAGCUAAGUUCUCCCCAGGGGUAGAGCCCAAUGCUGGGCAUACAGUAGGGACUCAAUGGAUAUUUAUCAAAUGAAUGAAUACAGGUGGAAUUCAGAUCCGUUUGGCCUCUCUUUUCUGUGACUGGGGACCACUGAACCUGAGUCACUAAGUGAUAACUCACAACACAAAUUUUCUUCUUGUUCCAAGCAGCCAGGACCCAGGUUCUAGGUAUCUAAAAAUGCUGUGCCUGACUUGAGUUCGCAAUGACAUUUUUUAUCAACUGAAAAUGUUUACUUCUGUGCAACCAGCCAAAGCUGGGGGUAAGCAGCCCAGUGGGGUGCGCUGAUUCUAUCUUAGAUUACGCUGUGCACAAUGGACUCUUUGUAAAGUCCUUAUGGCGGGGAGUGGCCAGGCAGGCAUCUCCUGCACCCAGCUCUGGAGACUCACUUGCCACAAAGCUGAAGAAGGACGGGGCAGUUUUAAUAUACCUGGCUUAGAAAAGCCACAGACUGUUGGACUUACAUGUGGGUGUGUAAGCCCCACACAGAAGCAGCUUUUUCUCCAGCAUUGUUAACAAAGCUCAUUUAGAGGAAUGCAAGUCUGGGGCACGGCCUGGAUGGGCAGCAUGACGCACACACCACAUAAGCUCCAGACGCUCACUGAUCCCCUUCACAGAGGCUGAGCCUGCCCACCCAACCCUGCCCUCGCCCUCACCCUCACCUCCGCAGCCGGACCUGGGAUAGCACUGCUUUUCUUGAGAGGACUGAGUCUUAGCAUUGAGGAUGGGAAGGGGAGUGUAAGGGCUCUUCCAGGAGAGAAUCUCCUGCUUAUUUGCAUGGAGGAAGAAGGGAGCCUUUCCCAGUGCCUACACGUCUGAGUCCCAAUUGUGAGAGAAAAUGAAUUGCUUAAAGUUGCAGUUCUCAACCAGAGGUGAUUCCCCUCCCAGGGGAUAUUUGCAACACUUGGAGGGAUUUUUCAUGGUAAUGACUUGGGAGGGGAAUAAGGGAGGUGGUGCUAUGGGCAUCUGGUGAGUGGAGGCCAGGGAUGCUGCUGAGCAUCCUACAAAGCAUAGGACAGCCCCUCAUGGCAAAGCAUUACUCACCCCAAAUGUCAGUGUGCCAAGGUGGAGAAACCCUGACUUAAAGGAGGGCUUUUAUUACCUUUUAAGCUUAAGAAUUAUAAAAGGCAAUUUAUUGUUUUAUAAUUUAAAAAAAGGGUUAUUUUAAAUAUGGACAAAUAUGCUGAACUUCCCAAGUAUCACCUUCUUUCAUUAUUUGUGAUAACAGUCUUGGCAUAUAGCA